CCUACGGGGGGCGGCAGUGGGGAAUAUUGCGCAAUGGGGGAAACCCUGACGCAGCAACGCCGCGUGAAGGAUGAAGGUUUUCGGAUUGUAAACUUCUUUGAUGAGGGACGAAUAAUGACGGUACCUCAAAAACAAGCCACGGCUAACUACGUGCCAGCAGCCCCGGUC
rnacentral:rRNA from 1 species